rnacentral:rRNA from 1 species
UGCCAGACUCCUACGGGAGGCAGCAGUGGGGAAUAUUGCACAAUGGGGGAAACCCUGAUGCAGCGACGCCGCGUGAGCGAUGAAGUAUUUCGGUAUGUAAAGCUCUAUCAGCAGGGAAGAAAAUGACGGUACCUGACUAAGAAGCCCCGGCUAACUACGUGCCAGCAGCCGCGGUAAUACGUAGGGGGCAAGCGUUAUCCGGAUUUACUGGGUGUAAAGGGAGCGUAGACGGCUGUGCAAGCCAGAUGUGAAAGCCCGGGGCUCAACCCCGGGACUGCAUUUGGAACUGUGUGGCUGGAGUGUCGGAGAGGCAGGCGGAAUUCCUAGUGUAGUGGUGAAAUGCGUAGAUAUUAGGAGGAACACCAGUGGCGAAGGCGGCCUGCUGGACGAUGACUGACGUUGAGGCUCGAAAGCGUGGGGAGCAAACAGGAUUAGAUACCCCUGUA